ncrna:unclassified sequences L19-Flavobacteria ribosomal protein leader
CAACCUCUGACGAGCAUCGUGAACGUUG